rnacentral:tRNA from 1 species
GGCAGUGUGGCCUAGUGCGUUGGGCACCAGGCUGGGACUCAAGGGAUCCUUGGUUCUAUUCCUGGCUCUGCUA